CUCAGUUAUUUCGACACCUUUUCUGUAGGUGUGGUAUCUUCUGACAAACUAAGAAGUAACUCAGUGAAGCCAAAAGGGACCUCAUUUUAAAAGUAGGCAUUAAAAACUGGCCAAAUUCUACAAUGAACGCAAGUUUUCUCCUUGUUUCAGGUUUGCUUGUCACAUCUGCUCUCACAGUGGUUGUCACAAGCGAUGAAGAACUUUCCUCUGUUUUAAAUCCCCAUCAAAAAUUUGACAGUGACCAAAAUAAUGUCAUUACCAACAUGACAACUGCCAGCACAAGUAACCACAGCGACACAAACAACAGCACCAUCACACCCUCAGCAGAAACAGCAGAUGUAGAAAAUGAAACUUCUGCCGCGACACCCACAACAUCCUUGACAACACCAGAACCCAUUGUUGUUCCAAAAACCACUAAAUCGGCUAUCACCAGAGAUGACCACAAGCUCAUUACCACUGCCGCACCCGUAUCUGAUAAAAAUGACAUCACUGGCAUCAUCAUCAUCUCUGUAAUCAUUAUUGCGGCUCUUGGAUUUGGUGUCGGUUGUUACAUUGCACGGAGAAGAGGAAGAAGAAACUCUGUGGAUUUCACCUCCAGACCAGAUGAAACUAACAUCCCUCUAAAUGCUGAAGUCACACAGUCUCCAGAAGUUUUGGUACCUGAGAUCGCUGAGCCUGACAAAGCUGCUGUUGAUCCCGGUGCUGAGUCUGCAGCUCCAGACAUUUGCGAUGACGACCCAAAAGAGGAAGUUGUUCAGCAACAGAGUCCUCCUCCACCAGUGACUGUGGCUGAAGAUGGAAACAACGCCUCUAAGAAGUCAUCAGCAGAGUCCCUGCAGGAGACGGCCACCAACAACAACCACCAAGCUGACUGAAAUGUGAGUCUCAUCUUCCAGGAGGAUCCUCUGGACUGGGAGGAUUUAUUGCUGCUUUGUAACUGAGCGGUUCAGCAGUAAUUCGAUGAGACAGCAGCACGCAGAUGUUUUGCAGCAGCUGCAGCCUGCUAAUGUAAAAGUUAUAGAAAAAUUCAUAGUAGGAAAUUAAAUUAAAUUGAAUUUAAAUUAAAUUUUUUAAAAAAGUAAUAGUAAAAUGUAUAUACAGUUAAAGGUUUCAUAAUUAUGAUUUUCUUGUGAUUAUUGAAGAUGUUACCGUUAUUUUUUUACGUACAAUUUACAUUCAUAAAUGUUCGACGAUUUGCCGAAUGAUUCCUUUUGACCCGCAGAGAUUUGUGUUUUUUUGUGCCUGAGAAUCAAAAGUUUGAUGUUCCGCAUCUCUGUCCUUUAUUCUGCACAAACGUAAACACUGUAUCUCUCCCAAACUGUCGGAGCAGAGGAAAAUAAAAAUAAAAGUCUAUUACA
rnacentral:lncRNA from 1 species